CUGCGCUGGCGGCGUGCUUAAACAUGCAAGUCGAACCGAUGAAGCCCAGCUUGCUGGGUGGAUUAGUGGCGAACGGGUGAGUAACACGUGAGUAACCUGCCCUUGACUCUAGGAUAAGCCCGGGAAACUGGGUCUAAUACUGGAUAGGAACGUCUACCGCAUGGUGGAUGUUGGAAAGAAUUUCGGUCAUGGAUGGACUCGCGGCCUAUCAGCUUGUUGGUGAGGUAAUGGCUCACCAAGGCGACGACGGGUAGCCGGCCUGAGAGGGUGACCGGCCACACUGGGACUGAGACACGGCCCAGACUCCUACGGGAGGCAGCAGUGGGGAAUAUUGCACAAUGGGCGAAAGCCUGAUGCAGCGACGCCGCGUGAGGGAUGACGGCCUUCGGGUUGUAAACCUCUUUCAGUAGGGAAGAAGCGAAAGUGACGGUACCUGCAGAAGAAGCACCGGCUAACUACGUGCCAGCCGCCGCGUUAAAAUACA
rnacentral:rRNA from 1 species